AGAACGAACGCUGGCGGCAGGCCUCAAACAUGCAAGUCUAGGGGGCGUAGCAAUACGUCACCGGCGGACGGGUGCGUAACACGUGGGAAUGUACUUACUGGUUCGGAACAACUCAGGGAAACUUGUGCUAAUACCGUAUACGCCUUGGCGGGGAAAGAUUUAUCGCCGAAGGAUUGGCCCGCGUCCGAUUAGCUAGUUGGUGAGGUAAUGGCUCACCAAGGCGACGAUCGGUAGCUGGUCUGAGAGGAUGGCCAGCCACAUUGGGACUGAGACACGGCCCAAACUCCUACGGGAGGCAGCAGUGGGGAAUAUUGGACAAUGGGCGCAAGCCUGAUCCAGCCAUGCCGCGUGAGUGAUGAAGGCCUUAGGGUUGUAAAGCUCUUUCAUCAGGGACGAUAAUGACGGUACCUGAAGAAGAAGCCCCGGCUAACUUCGCGCCAGCAGCCGC
rnacentral:rRNA from 1 species